CCCCUUACAUUAUCCACACCUCAGACUGAAUCUUCCUGUCAAUCAGAAGUGGAGGGAAGGCCACAAGCGGAGUCUCAGCCAAUCCCGUCGCUCGUGUCUGCGGUUAAUUUGACGCCCAGUAAAGAAGAAAGAGUUACACAAGAUUUUAAGCACCUUCCAGAUUCUCAGCUUUACUUUGAGUCCAAACUCCUUCCGGAUUCUAACUUGUAUCCUAUUUUCAGAAGGGGGCGUGGCCAAACUGGAAAUCAUUUAUCUCCGUCCCAGACAAGUAUGUGUAAAAACGGCCUUCAAAUGACACAGAUGCGGACUGUAAUCUGGAGUCCAUUCCUGAGCGACCACAUUCAAAAUAAGUAUAUUUUUUCUGAAAUAGUUUUUUUCUAUGUGCUUUGGUGGGCAGAGAAGUUGGUUAUCAUGUCAUUUUGUUAUGAUGUGUCUAUUGGAGUCUCCAGGUGCACUUUCUUUGAAAGGACGCCUGGAUUUAAAAAAAAAAAGCUCACAGAAACUAAAUUUUUUGGAGUAUCAUUCUGAAAUUUGAAUCACAACACGGUCAGUUGUUAGUUUACCUAUAUGGUGUCCAAAUAUACAUUUCAUGUAUAUUUUACCUUAUUUUACUCUGCUCCUAUACUACUCGGAGUUGUUAUGACUAUUAGGCAACAAAAAAGUGUCUAAUUUCAAACAAGACCAGUGGCUGGUUGCAUAAACAUAGCCGUGACGUUAAGACUGCGUCUUAAGUAUGAUUCUGACUAACUAGCAAUUAGUUAGGGCUAAUCAGUCUUAUUAUUUGGAUUUAUAUUAGACCAAUCUACCUUUCUAUGUAACAUACUUAAAACAGUUAUGAUCAGUCUUGAAGAAAAAAAUUCAUGACUAACUUUUAAAGCUAGUCUUAAAGUUUUAUGCAACCGGCCACAGAAUUAUGAAUAUAGACCAUAGGCUUUAAGAGCUGCAGACGUUUUAGUUUGGGUAUGUCAUUUUUCAUAAAAUGCUCAAAAAUAAAAGUCCCGGCUAACAGGAUCGUAUUAACACACUCAUUGUCAUGUAUCAGCAAACUUUCUUUCUUGCUUUGACAGCAGGAGAGAAACAGUAAAUAAUUUGCUUAAUAUUUGUGCAUGAUUAUUAAGAAAUUAUUACUAUCAAUGAACUACCAUUACAUGAUAGACUGUAUGAUGGAUGACUGUAUAUACUACUAUGAGACAGAUAAAAACUGAUAAAAAAAGGGAAAAGAAAUGAUUACUGAGAAAUAUACAGAACUUGGCCCAUCCAUUUAAGACAAACAUCACUCUUUUAUGUGCACAUGCUCGUGGACUAAUAUUGGGUUAAAAUUUACUCAAUGCUGGGUAUUCUAACCCAUGGUUGCAUAACAACAACACAACAUUGGGUCAUUUUUAACCCAAUAAGACAAAAAAAGGAAUCCGCACUCACCAAAAAAAAAAAUUUUUUUUUAAUCACCGAAGUAACGUUUCGGGCUACCGCCCUUCUUCAGACUUCUUUUUUAACCCAUCACAUGUUUUGUCCAGUAUUUAUGUCCCAUUAUGGGUUAAAAAUAGUGCUGGGCAUAUAAUCUAGAUUAAUCGUAAAAAAAAAAAAAAGUUAUUUUUGCAUAAUAUACAAGUGUGUGCUGUGCGUAAUUAUUAUGUAUAAAUAAAUACACACACAUUCAUGUAUUUAUUUAAGAAACAUUUACAUGUGUAUAUAUAUUUAUAUUUUUAUAUAUUCUAUAUUUUAUAUAAAUUAAUAAAAAAUUAUAUUCAAAUAAAAAUUGACAUUUUUAUGUGUGUGUUUUUAAAUAUACAUAAUAAUUGCACACAACACACACACAUACAUUACGCAAAAAAGUACUUUUUUAUUUUGUAUGCGAUAAAUCUAGAUUAAUCUUUGCCCAGCACUAGUUACAAAUAUUUUUAGAGUGAAAGUAUGGUUUUGUCAACUUAAAACUAAUCCCUCAACUUUGAGGAACUUUAACUUUCUUAUGCCCCAGGUACAUAUACAGUAGAUUGCAUCUAUAACCCCGCUGAACAGACCUAAGAUGGCUGGCUGGUUUUAAGUGGUCUCCCAGCCUGUUUUAGCUGCUUUAACAGGCUGGAUUUAAAGAGGGUUUGGCUGGUCAGGGUGGAAGACCAGGUGACCCAUUAGUUUGACCAGCCACCUAACUUAGGUCCACGUGCUCAUCUCCACUCAAACCUUUGCAGAGAAAUGAAACAGUGACUGCAUGUCUGAGCUACAGUCGCCACCUGGUGGUGAUAAAAAUUAAUAGCUUAACAAAAGUAUAACUUCAGUACGUUUUUGGUGGUAUGGUACAGUUUUAUAUAGAUUAAUGGUAUAUGGUAAAGUGUGCUUUAGCUUAAAGGUAGAUAUAACAGUGAAUGAAGAUAAAGGCAUGUGGGCUUGACUGGCAGGGCAAAAUCCUUAAACUGAACUUUAUUAACUAUAUCUAAACACAGAGUAUCAGUGAAGCAAGUUUCAGAGAUUUCUACAUAAAAUCUAUAAUGUAAAGACUGACUAAGGUAAUCUUUUUUUUAAUAAGGUAUAUCUCUUUUUAAAGUAGUGUUAUGCCACAUUUAACCUCUAGGCUUCACUUGCUUUAGAUAUAGAUAUUGUUGCAUAAAAUUGGUUUGGGGGCAGAACAAAUAUUUUUGGUAGUGGAAACAUUUUUCAAAAUCUUUUCCUCCCAUCUCAUACAGUAUUUUGUCCAUCACCAUGACCUUUUAGUUUCUGUAGUGGUUCUUCAUCAGUCAGCAUGUCAAAUGUUCUUUAAUGUAUUUAGGAAUUAAUAUUAUGGAGUGUUUAGUGAAUUUAACCCUGCAGUAAACCCAGCAAUAUGUAACUCUGUCUCUGGUGAUGAUUUAACUGCUGUAAGAGAUUAUCCUCUUUGUAAUUGUCUGUUUUACUGACUGCCAUAUAAGCAAUGAAAAAACUUUUGUAUGUAUCAUGUAUUAAAAUAUAUGACCUCAGAUGCUUUUUGAUAAUUUAAAUAAAACACAAAAAUCUCAGCAUGUCUGUGUUUUA